GCGUGGGUGGUGUAGUGGUAACAUAGGUCGUUGCCAUCACAGGCGACCAGCUCUCCAGCGUCGGGUGUUCGCAACAUUCGACCUGCCCGGGGUUCGAUUCCCUGUCCACGCA